AGGGGUAGCUUGCUACCCGCUGACGAGCGGCGGACGGGUGAGUAAUGCAUAGGAAUCUGCCCGAUAGUGGGGGAUAACCUGGGGAAACCCAGGCUAAUACCGCAUACGUCCUACGGGAGAAAGGGGGCUUCGGCUCCCGCUAUUGGAUGAGCCUAUGUCGGAUUAGCUAGUUGGUAAGGUAAUGGCUUACCAAGGCAACGAUCCGUAGCUGGUCUGAGAGGAUGAUCAGCCACAUCGGGACUGAGACACGGCCCGAACUCCUACGGGAGGCAGCAGUGGGGAAUAUUGGACAAUGGGGGCAACCCUGAUCCAGCCAUGCCGCGUGUGUGAAGAAGGCCCUCGGGUUGUAAAGCACUUUCAGCGAGGAAGAACGCCUAUCGGUUAAUACCCGGUAGGAAAGACAUCACUCGCAGAAGAAGCACCGGCUAACUCCGUGCCAGCAGCCGCGGUAAUACGGAGGGUGCAAGCGUUAAUCGGAAUUACUGGGCGUAAAGCGCGCGUAGGUGGCUUGAUAAGCCGGUUGUGAAAGCCCCGGGCUCAACCUGGGAACGGCAUCCGGAACUGUCAGGCUAGAGUGCAGGAGAGGAAGGUAGAAUUCCCGGUGUAGCGGUGAAAUGCGUAGAGAUCGGGAGGAAUACCAGUGGCGAAGGCGGCCUUCUGGACUGACACUGACACUGAGGUGCGAAAGCGUGGGUAGCAAACAGGAUUAGAUACCCUGGUAGUCCACGCCGUAAACGAUGUCGACCAGCCGUUGGGUGCCUAGAGCACUUUGUGGCGAAGUUAACGCGAUAAGUCGACCGCCUGGGGAGUACGGCCGCAAGGUUAAAACUCAAAUGAAUUGACGGGGGCCCGCACAAGCGGUGGAGCAUGUGGUUUAAUUCGAUGCACGCGAAGACCUUACCUACCCUUGACAUCUACA
rnacentral:rRNA from 1 species